rnacentral:rRNA from 1 species
AGGACGAACGCUGGCGGCGUGCUUAACACAUGCAAGUCGAACGGGCAUCUUCGGAUGUUAGUGGCGAACGGGUGAGUAACACGUGGGCAACCUGCCCCUAGCUCUGGGAUAACUCCGGGAAACCGGGGCUAAUACUGGAUAUGACCUUCUCCUGCAUGGGGGUUGGUGGAAAGUUUUUCGGCUAGGGAUGGGCCCGCGGCCUAUCAGCUUGUUGGUGGGGUGAUGGCCUACCAAGGCGACGACGGGUAG